rnacentral:rRNA from 1 species
GAUGCUAAUACCGGAUAACAACACUAGACGCAUGUCUAGAGUUUAAAAGAUGGUUCUGCUAUCACUCUUGGAUGGACCUGCGGUGCAUUAGCUAGUUGGUAAGGUAACGGCUUACCAAGGCAAUGAUGCAUAGCCGAGUUGAGAGACUGAUCGGCCACAUUGGGACUGAGACACGGUCCAAACUCCUACGGGAGCAGCAGUC